UCAGUUUUAAUUUUGACAUUACAAUGGAAUACAGAUCUGCACAAAUGAAUUGCCCAUUUGUGUUAACUAAAGUAUCCAUACCUUUCAUUGUGUAUCUGCAUUUAUUACAAAUGUUUAUUCAUGCUUGGCAAUUUGUUCAGGUAACUUUAUAUUACAUUAGGAGUAAAACAUCUUUUCUUUGACCAGAAAAAGGUCUACUGCAUGACUGCAGUUAUCGCCACAUCAAUAUUAAAUGGACAAUUCAGAUCUGUCAGAAAUAUCAGAAUACAAGAACAUGAGAUUGUGCUGUGCCCUUACAAUACUGGAAGUCACUGGAUUCUUGUGAUCGUGAAAAUGUGUGAAAAUACUGUGGUCCUGAUUGCUCCACUGGGCGAGGAGGACAGGUAUAGCAGAGGAAUUUUAAGAAACUGGAGGAGUUUCGUGAGAGCUAAUGUGGACACAGGAAACAAGGCAGUUUGGAAAUUGCAGACUUUCAAACACCAACUUCAGAUGGAUGGCAGCAGUUGUGGUGUUCUGAUAUUAAAUUUUGCAGAACAGUACCUUACAAGUGGAUCAAUUGAUCAGGUGGAAACCAGCCCAGCAUCUAUAAGAGCAGAAAGACUGGAGAUUGCUGGCCUCCUUAUGGAAAAUCAGGGUAACA